CAAUAGCGUAUAUUUAAGUUGUUGCAGUUAAAAAGUUCGUAGUUGGAUUUCGGAUGGGCUUGACCGGUCCGCCGUUUGGUGUGCACUGGUCGUGCCUAUCUUGCUGCCGGGGACGCGCUCCUGGCCUUAAUUGGCUGGGACGCGGAGUCGGCGAUGUUACUUUGAAAAAAUUAGAGUGUUCAAAGCAGGCCUAAGCUCUGAAUACAUUAGCAUGGAAUAACGCUAUAGGACUCUGGUCUUAUUGCGUUGGUCUUCGAGACCGGAGUAAUGAUUAAGAGGGACAGUUGGGGGCAUUCGUAUUUCAUUGUCAGAGGUGAAAUUCUUGGAUUUAUGAAAGACGAACUUCUGCGAAAGCAUUUGCCAAGGAUGUUUUCAUUAA
rnacentral:rRNA from 1 species